AGCGAACGCUGGCGGCAGGCUUAACACAUGCAAGUCGAGCGGGCACUUUCGGGUGUCAGCGGCGGACGGGUGAGUAACGCGUGGGAACGUGCCCUCGGGUUCGGAAUAACUCAGGGAAACUUGAUCUAAUACCGGAUACGCCCUUUUGGGGAAAGGCUUGCUGCCGGAGGAUCGGCCCGCGUCUGAUUAACUAGUUGGUGAGGUAACGGCGCACCAAGGCGACGAUCAGUAGCUGGUCUGAGAGGAUGAUCAGCCACACUGGGACUGAGACACGGCCCAGACUCCUACGGGAGGCAGCAGUGGGGAAUAUUGGACAAUGGGCGCAAGCCUGAACCAGCCAUGCCGCGUGAGUGAUGAAGGCCUUAGGGUUGUAAAGCUCUUUUAUCCGGGACGAUAAUGACGGUACCGGAGGAAUAAGCCCCGGCUAACUUCGUG
rnacentral:rRNA from 1 species